UUAGUUCAACAGGUUCCACUUAAUAUCCUUUGCGUAACUCCCCUGUCCUUCAUGUUAAAUGAAGUAUCUGUUUUCUUUUUUUUUUCAACAGUGCAAAAUAGACACACAGACCUGCUCCUUGCUUGGGCUUCCUGAGUGCCUGAAUAUUCGGGUCCAAAGAAGGGCGACGAAGCUGGUGAGGGGCCUGGAGAGCAAGUCCUAUGAGGAGCGGCUGAAGGAGCUGGGCUUGUUCAGCCUAGAGAAGAGGAGGCUCAGGGGUGACCUUAUUGCUCUGUAUAAGUACAUUAAAGGAGGCUGUAGAGAGGUGGGGGUUGGCCUGUUCUCCCAUGUGCCUGGUGACAGGACGAGGGGGAAUGGGCUAAAGUUACGCCAGGGGAGUUUUAGGUUAGAUGUUAGGAAGAAUUUCUUUACUGAAAGGGUUGUGAGGCACUGGAACGGGCUGCCCAGGGAGGUGGUGGAGUCCCCAUCCCUGGAAGUCUUCAAAAGACGUUUAGAUGUGGAGCUUAGGGAUAUGGUUUAGUGGGGACUGUUAGUGUUAGGUUAGAGGUUGGACUCGAUGAUCUUGAGGUCUCUUCCAACCUAGAAAUUCUGUGAAUAUGAACGUGAAGCUGGAGAAAAUGGAGCAGGAGCAAGCAGGUCUUUGAAGCUUCACUGUUGAGCCUCUUGGAAAAUGUUGCGGAAAAGGAGAUGAGAUUUAAGUUCUUCACACUAUGCCUGGAAAGGCUGAUUACCACUAAAAGCCUUAUUCAGUGAGAACAGAGUGAAACCCAGGCCAAUUGCCAUGGGCACAACAACCACCACAGGAGGAAAGAGCUGUGCCAGCCUCUGGGAUCGUGCCCUCACGGUGGGACAGGGGCUGCGGCUCUCUGCAGGUGCUGGAUCUGUCCCAAGGACAGACCAAAGAGGCAACAAGCAAAUUGUUCCACAUCUUGUUACUGUCACUUCAGCAGACGAUAAAUGAAGCAGCUGGGUGGGCUGAUUAUUAUAAGGAUCUGUAGAUUUUUCACCCUACAGGGAUAAAAUGGGAAAGAACAAGGACACAGAGGAAAUUCCCUAGGAAAUAUAAACUAAAGUAGAAAAUUGCCCUCUGUAUGCACAAAGGGAAAAUCAGGAGAUGGGUUGAAUUUUUUUCGGUCAGGUACCUUUAGAAAAAGAAGGGAUACAUUUAUGCAUAUAAAAUAUACAAAGUACUUCCCUAUGCAUAAAGGAUAUUUUGGUCUUUGUGGGAAAUAUGUAGGUGGAAUUUUUUUUAUUUAUUUUUUUUUUCCCAUAUGUGGCUGUGAAGCAGGUGUUUCUCUUCUGAAAAUCUUCGCCAACAGGUGGAUGUUGGGUGAAUUGAGAGAGGAUUUAACUCCUUGCUUAGAGAUCACUCAUAGGCUUGGGAUAGGGGAGCAGCACUUGGGCCCCAGCCUGAGGAAGGCUUAGCAGGGUUUGCUAAGAUGCUCAGGAGCUUUUCUCCCUGAGACAGAUGUGGCUGGAAUAUGCUGGAGCCAGGCUUCCCCUCCGAGUGUGUCCCACCU
rnacentral:lncRNA from 1 species